rnacentral:piRNA from 1 species
UGAGUAUGUCACAGUGCAGGAAACAGUGC